rnacentral:rRNA from 1 species
UUGCUCUUCAACGAGGAAUGCCUAGUAAGCGUACGUCAUCAGCGUGCGUUGAUUACGUCCCUGCCCUUUGUACACACCGCCCGUCGCUACUACCGAUUGAAUGGCUGAGUGAGGCCUUCGGACUGGCCCAGGGAGGUCGGCAACGACCACCCAGGGCCGGAAAGUUGGUCAAACUCCGUCAUUUAGAGGAAGUAAAAGUCGUAACAAGGUUUCCGUAGGUGAACCUGCGGAAGGAUCAUUAAAGAGUAAGGGUGCUCAGCGCCCGACCUCCAACCCUUUGUUGUUAAAACUACCUUGUUGCUUUGGCGGGACCGCUCGGUCUCGAGCCGCUGGGGAUUCGUCCCAGGCGAGCGCCCGCCAGAGUUAAACCAAACUCUUGUUAUUUAACCGGUCGUCUGAGUUAAAAUUUUGAAUAAAUCAAAACUUUCAACAACGGAUCUCUUGGUUCUCGCAUCGAUGAAGAACGCAGCGAAAUGCGAUAAGUAAUGUGAAUUGCAGAAUUCAGUGAAUCAUCGAAUCUUUGAACGCACAUUGCGCCCGCUAGUAUUCUGGCGGGCAUGCCUGUUCGAGCGUCAUUUCAACCAUCAAGCCCCAGGCUUGUGUUGGAGCCCUGCGGCUGCCGCAGCCUCCCAAAACCAGUGGCGGGCUCGCUAUCACACCGAGUGCAGUAGUUUACUCUUCGCUCAGGGCGUGUGGCGGGUGCUAGCCGUGAAACCCCCAACUUCUCAAGGUUGACCUCGGAUCAGGUAGGAAUACCCGCUGAACUUAAGCAUAUCAAUAAGCGGAGGA